rnacentral:rRNA from 1 species
AUUGAACGCUGGCGGCAUGCCUUACACAUGCAAGUCGAACGGCAGCACGGGAGCAAUCCUGGUGGCGAGUGGCGAACGGGUGAGUAAUAUAUCGGAACGUGCCCAGUCGUGGGGGAUAACGUAGCGAAAGCUACGCUAAUACCGCAUACGAUCUACGGAUGAAAGCGGGGGAUCGCAAGACCUCGCGCGAUUGGAGCGGCCGAUAUCAGAUUAGCUAGUUGGUGAGGUAAAAGCCCACCAAGGCGACGAUCUGUAGCUGGUCUGAGAGGACGACCAGCCACACUGGAACUGAGACACGGUCCAGACUCCUACGGGAGGCAGCAGUGGGGAAUUUUGGACAAUGGGCGAAAGCCUGAUCCAGCAAUGCCGCGUGCAGGACGAAGGCCUCGGGUUGUAAACGUGCUUUGUACGGAACGAAACGGUACGUCUUUAAUACUAGGGCGUAAUGACGGUACCGUAAGAAGUAA